GGAUGGAUUGCAAUAUAUACACAGGGACAUGUUGGUACAAGGUCUCUUUCAUUCUGCUCUGUGGUUCUGCAGACAAAAGCCUAUUGGUAAUUAAUUCUCUCUGGCAGUUCUCCAGUUCCUCCUCAGUUUGAGUUACUUGUCUGUUGCCUCCUCCCACUUUCCUAGAGUUGAAUCUGACUCUUAUUAUUUGGGAGCCAAAAACUCUGUCUAUAAACCUGCCUGCAAAUUUUUGGUCUUAUGGUCCUGUGGCUUCUUUGAGACUUUGGUUCGGUUUGGGAGAAAACGUUCCUUGGAAUGCAGUAAGAGAACUGCAGAUGGGACUGUCUAAUUGCAGGAAAACAAGCACAGGCCUCCCCCUGAUUCUACGUUAUGCUUUUAGAGUGACCGACCAUUACCAGUCUGACCAGAAUUUUAUUGGCUGCAAUACUGAAAAGCUCAUGUCUCGGAAAUCCUUUGGUCUUGGGUGAAGUGGGAUGCUUGGUUACCCUACCACUGAUGAUUGUAAUUCUCAGGUAAGGUACUUGGGUUUCGGCAGUUGUUAACUCUCCUAAAUAUUUGCAACCUUGAAUUGUUCACGUUUGGUCUCUGUUAACCAGC
rnacentral:lncRNA from 1 species